UACGAAGGGGGCUAGCGUUGCUCGGAAUGACUGGGCGUAAAGGGCGCGUAGGCGGUUUGGACAGUCAGGCGUGAAAUUCCCGGGCUUAACCUGGGGGCUGCGCUUGAUACAUCCAGGCUUGAGUGGGGAAGAGGGUCGUGGAAUUCCCAGUGUAGAGGUGGAAUUCGUAGAUAUUGGGAAGAACACCGGUGGCGAAGGCGGCAUCCUGGACCGACACUGACGCUGAGGAGCGAAAGCCAGGGGAGCAAACGGG
rnacentral:rRNA from 1 species